GGGGAAGUAGCUCGCUGGGCGUAGAGCAACGGACUGUUAAUCCGAAGGUGGUGGGUUCGAAUCCCUCCUUCCCCG
rnacentral:tRNA from 1 species